GAUGAACGCUGGCGGCGUGCCUAACACAUGCAAGUCGAGCGAGUGAGUUCUUCGGAACGAUCUAGCGGCGGACGGGUGAGUAACACGUGGGCGACCUGCCUCAUAGAGGGGAAUAGCCUUCCGAAAGGAAGAUUAAUACCGCAUAAGAUUGUAGCUUCGCAUGAAGCAGCAAUUAAAGGAGCAAUCCGCUAUGAGAUGGGCCCGCGGCGCAUUAGCUAGUUGGUGAGGUAACGGCUCACCAAGGCGACGAUGCGUAGCCGACCUGAGAGGGUGAUCGGCCACAUUGGGACUGAGACACGGCCCAGACUCCUACGGGAGGCAGCAGUGGGGAAUAUUGCACAAUGGGGGAAACCCUGAUGCAGCAAUGCCGCGUGAGUGAUGACGGCCUUCGGGUUGUAAAGCUCUGUCUUCGGGGACGAUAAUGACGGUACCCGAGGAGGAAGCCACGGCUAACUACGUGCCAGCCGCCGCUGUAA
rnacentral:rRNA from 1 species